rnacentral:rRNA from 1 species
UACGUAGGUGGCAAGCGUUGUCCGGAUUUACUGGGCGUAAAGCGUGCGCAGGCGGUUCGUUGUGUCGGUGGUGAAAUCCCCGGGCUUAACCUGGGAAUGGCCAUGGAAACUGGCGAACUGGAGUGCGGCAGAGGGGGGUGGAAUUCCACGUGUAGCAGUGAAAUGCGUAGAGAUGCGGAGGAACACCGAUGGCGAAGGCAGCCCCCUGGGCUAGCACUGACGCUCAGGCACGAAAGCGUGGGGAGCAAACAGG